rnacentral:rRNA from 1 species
GGACCCGCACAAGCGGUGGAUGAUGUGGUUUAAUUCGACGCAACGCGAAAAACCUUACCUACCCUUGACAUGUCUGGAAUUUUGCAGAGAUGUGAAAGUGCUCGAAAGAGAGCCAGAACACAGGUGCUGCAUGGCCGUCGUCAGCUCGUGUCGUGAGAUGUUGGGUUAAGUCCCGCAACGAGCGCAACCCUUGUCAUUAGUUGCUACGAAAGGGCACUCUAAUGAGACUGCCGGUGACAAACCGGAGGAAGGUGGGGAUGACGUCAGGUCAUCAUGGCCCUUAUGGGUAGGGCUACACACGUCAUACAAUGGCCGGUACAGAGGGCUGCCAACCCGCGAGGGGGAGCCAAUCCCAGAAAACCGGUCGUAGUCCGGAUCGCAGUCUGCAACUCGACUGCGUGAAGUCGGAAUCGCUAGUAAUCGCGGAUCAGCUUGCCGCGGUGAAUACGUUCCCGGGUCUU